AUUGAACGCUGGCGGCAUGCCUUACACAUGCAAGUCGAACGGUAACGGGCCUUCGGGUGCCGACGAGUGGCAAACGGGUGAGUAAUACAUCGGAACGUGCCCGAUCGUGGGGGAUAACGAGGCGAAAGCUUUGCUAAUACCGCAUACGAUCUACGGAUGAAAGCAGGGGACCGCAAGGCCUUGCGCGGACGGAGCGGCCGAUGGCAGAUUAGGUAGUUGGUGGGAUAAAAGCUUACCAAGCCGACGAUCUGUAGCUGGUCUGAGAGGAUGAUCAGCCACACUGGGACUGAGACACGGCCCAGACUCCUACGGGAGGCAGCAGUGGGGAAUUUUGGACAAUGGGCGCAAGCCUGAUCCAGCCAUGCCGCGUGCAGGAUGAAGGCCUUCGGGUUGUAAACUGCUUUUGUACGGAACGAAAAGCCUUCUUUUAAUACAGGAGGGUCAUGACGGUACCGUAAGAAUAAGCACCGGCUCACUACGUG
rnacentral:rRNA from 1 species